GUUGGCUUGGAAGCAGCCAUUCAUUUAAAGAGUGCGUAACAGCUCACUAGUCGAGGAUUUUGGCAUGGAUAAUAAUCGGGCAUAAGCAGUGUACCGAAGCUGUGGGAUGUUUUAUACAUCGGUAGGGGAGCAUUCUAACGGAGCAGAAGAUUCGAAGACAAUUCGGGUUGGAUUUGUUAGAAAAGCAAAUGUAGGUAUAAGUAACGAUAAAGGGGGUCAGAAACCCCCUCGCCGAAAGACCAAGGUUUCCUGAUCAACGCUAAACGGAUCAGGGUUAGUCGGGCCCUAAGCGGAAGCCGAACGGCGUACGCGAUGGCAGAAUGGGUUAAUAUUCCCAUACUAAUCAUAUGAGUGAUGUGGAGACGGAGAAGUGACAGUACGGCCAACUGACGGAAUAGUUGGUUAAAGGGUGUAGAUGUAGAUUGGGGUAGGCAAAUCCGCCCUGAGAGUCGAACCUGAUAGUACAGAGCGUGCAUGCACAAUCUGAUAAGUACGUAAGCAGGCUCCCAAGAAAAUCUGCUAAACAUAUUGUAUGAUUACCCGUACCGUAAACCGACACAGGUGGUUGGGUUGAGUAUACUAAGGCGCUCGAGUGAUUCGCGGUUAAGGAACUAGGCAAAAUAGUCCUGUAACUUCGGGAAAAAGGACGCCUCUGAGCGAUCAGAGGUCGCAGAGAAAAGGCCCUGGCGACUGUUUAACAAAAACACAUGGCUAUGCGAAAUAGAAAUAUGCAGUAUAUAGCCUGACACCUGCCCGGUGCCGGAAGGUUAAGAGGAGAGGUCAUCCUUUUAGGAGAAGCUUUGAAUUGAAGCCCCGGUAAACGGCGGCCGUAACUAUAACGGUCCUAAGGUAGCGAAAUUCCUUGUCGGGUAAGUUCCGACCUGCACGAAUGGUGUAACGAUCUGGGUACUGUCUCAACCGCGAGCUCGGUGAAAUUGUAGUAUCGGUGAAGAUGCCGAUUACCCGCAACGGGACGAAAAGACCCCGUGAACCUUUACUAUAGCUUUAUAUUGUAGCCGGGUAUUAGAUGUGUAGGAUAGGCCGGAGACUGAGAAUGGGCAACGCCAGUUGUCUUGGAGUCGCUGUUGAAAUACGGCCCUUUUACUAUUUGGCUACUAACACGCGUGUUGCGUGGACAGUGUAUGGUGGGUAGUUUGACUGGGGUGGUCGCCUCCAAAAGUGUAACGGAGGCUUCUAAAGGUACCCUCAGACCGAUUGGUAACCGGUCGCAGAGUGUAAUGGCAUAAGGGUGCUUGACUGGGAGACAAACAAGUCGCACAGGUAGGAAACUAGAGCAUAGUGAUCCGGUGGUUCCGUAUGGA
rnacentral:rRNA from 1 species